UCCCUCCCCAAACCUGGAUUCUGCUCUUCCUAUGCACAGGCUCACGCCUGCAUCCCACUUCAAAGGUGCUGAGGAUGCUGGACUCUUUUCUCUGUUCCUGAAACCUCUCCAAGGCAGUUUCCUCUUCCCUCUGCAGCAGCUGCAGCUCCUGAUCCUGCUCUUUCCCCUUCAGGAAUGCACAGUCUCCCCUCUCACUGUCACCGUUCUCUGCACCAUAUCUCCCCGUAAUAAAAAACAGUCCUCCCGUGGCAUCUAUACCCCCCCCAACAGUUUAGGACCAUUAUAUUAAAUAAUGAUAAUCACAAG
rnacentral:lncRNA from 1 species